rnacentral:rRNA from 1 species
AGUGAACGCUGGCGGUAGGCCUAACACAUGCAAGUCGAACGGCAGCACAGUAAGAGCUUGCUCUUACGGGUGGCGAGUGGCGGACGGGUGAGGAAUACAUCGGAAUCUACUUUUUCGUGGGGGAUAACGUAGGGAAACUUACGCUAAUACCGCAUACGACCUACGGGUGAAAGCAGGGGAUCUUCGGACCUUGCGCGAUUGAAUGAGCCGAUGUCGGAUUAGCUAGUUGGCGGGGUAAAGGCCCACCAAGGCGACGAUCCGUAGCUGGUCUGAGAGGAGGAUCACCCACACUGGAACUGAGACACGGUCCAGACUCCUACGGGAGGCAGCAGUGGGGAAUAUUGGACAAUGGGCGCAAGCCUGAUCCAGCCAUACCGCGUGGGUGAAGAAGGCCUUCGGGUUGUAAAGCCCUUUUGUUGGGAAAGAAAAGUAGCAGGUUAAUACCCCGCUGUUCUGACGGUACCCAAAGAAUAAGCACCGGCUAACUUCGUG